GGCGUGUUCCCCUCUGAGCCUGCGCGUUAAGAGUUGCAGUACCAAAAUGCGCAGACGCCAAGUUGGAGGCUACGACUUCAGUUUAGUAAGGAGAUAAAGGCUCCUUAGAAAGUGGGAUCCCAGGCCUUCUCCUACUCUUCAUUGGUUCUCCUGGGACAGAGUUGUCUAACUGACAAGUGAAGCCCACAGGACGGGGUAGCAUCCACAUCCUGUAUCUCACAGCUGCUGAUAACUCCAGGGACACCAGACUGACUUUCGGGAGAUGGGAGAUGGAGACGAGGACAGGAGAAAGAGAUGCCUUUUGACUUAGGCCAGCAAUGUCCAGCAAUGCAGGUGCAUCGAGCACACGUGCGGCAGAGAAGUGGCUUCUGGAAGCAGGAAGAAGCUUCAGCAGAAGAGCGCAGAAACCCAAAAUUUCCGGGAAAAUAUACUUAG
rnacentral:lncRNA from 1 species